rnacentral:rRNA from 1 species
AUUGAACGCUGGCGGCAUGCCUUACACAUGCGAGUCGAACGGUAACAGGUCCUCGGAUGCUGACGAGUGGCGAACGGGUGAGUAAUACAUCGGAACGUGCCUAGUAGUGGGGGAUAACUACUCGAAAGAGUGGCUAAUACCGCACGAGAUCUACGGAUGAAAGCAGGGGAUCGCAAGACCUUGUGCUACUAGAGCGGCCGAUGGCAGAUUAGGUAGUUGGUGGGAUAAAAGCUUACCAAGCCGACGAUCUGUAGCUGGUCUGAGAGGACGAUCAGCCACACUGGGACUGAGACACGGCCCAGACUCCUACGGGAGGCAGCAGUGGGGAAUUUUGGACAAUGGGCGAAAGCCUGAUCCAGCAAUGCCGCGUGCAGGAUGAAGGCCUUCGGGUUGUAAACUGCUUUUGUACGGAACGAAAAGCCCCGGGUUAAUACCCUGGGGUCAUGACGGUACCGUAAGAAUAAGCACCGGCUAACUACGUGCCAGCAGCCGCCGUAA